rnacentral:lncRNA from 1 species
CUUGGUGAGGGGGACUAUUAGGCGGAGGAAACAGAUCUUGGUGAGGGGGACUAUUAGGCGGAGGAAACAGAUAUUGGUGAGGGGGACUAUUAGGCGGAGGAAACAGAUCUUGGUGAGGGGGACUAUUAGACGGAGGAAACAGAUCUUGGUGAGGGGGACUAUUAGACGGAGGAAACAGAUCUUGGUGAGGGGGACUAUUAGACGGAGGAAACAGAUCUUGGUGAGGGGGACUAUUAGGCGGAGGAAACAGAUCUUGGUGAGGGGGACUAUUAGACGGAGGAAACAGAUCUUGGUGAGGGGGAAACAGAUCUUGGUGAGGGGGACUAUUAGACGGAGGAAACAGAUCUUGGUGAGGGGGACUAUUAGACGGAGGAAACAGAUCUUGGUGAGGGGGACUAUUAGGCGGAGGAAACAGAUCUUGGUGAGGUGGACUAUUAGAUGGAGGAAACAGAUCUUGGUGAGGGGGACUAUUAGACGGAGGAAACAGAUAUUGAUGAGGG